UAAAAAGACAGUGGCUUCGUAAGGCCUCAUU
rnacentral:piRNA from 1 species